GGGUGCAUGGUCUAGUGGUAUGAUUUCUGUUUUGCAUUGAAAUUUCUACGAUCUUGCUCUACAGACGGUCCCGCGUUCGAUCCGCGGUGCAUCCA